CCUGAUUUUUCCGAGAGGUGGUGCAUGCCCGCCGUCAGUUCGUACCGUAAGGCGUUUUGUUAAGUCAGAUAACGAACGAGACCCUCAUUGCCAUUUGCUAGGCUCUUCUCAGGAAGGGUUGCACUAUGGCGAUACCGCCACUGCUGAAGUGGAGGAAGGAGGGGGCAACGGUAGGUCAGUAUGCCCCGAAUCUCCCGGGCUACACGCGCGCUACAAAGGGCAGGACAAUGGGCUUCGACGCCGAAAGGCGGAGGCAAUCCCGAAACCUGCUCGUACUUCGGAUUGAGUGCUGCAAUUCGCCCUCAUGAAGCUGGAAUCCGUAGUAAUCGCGGGUCAACAUCCCGCGGUGAAUAUGCCCCUGCUCCUUGCACACACCGCCCGUCAAACCACCUAGUUGGGU
rnacentral:rRNA from 1 species